rnacentral:lncRNA from 1 species
UCCCGACUUGGUAGCUGACCCUAGAUCGAGUAUGAGUAAGUUUUUGUCUGGGGUAUCGAGUGAUGUGUUGAAAGAGGGUAGAGCUUCCAUGCUCAAUAGAGAUAUAGAUCUUUCUAGGCUAAUGAUGCAUACGUAACAAAUUGAGGCAGAUAAAAUGAAUGAGAGAGAAAGAGAGUGAAUAAGAGUGCCAAGAUAGGUAGUCGUGGUUUCCCG